UACGGAGGGUGCAAACGUUGCUCGGAAUCAUUGGGCGUAAAGCGCGUGUAGGCGGCUUGUUAAGUCGGGUGUGAAAGCCCUGGGCUCAACCCAGGAAGUGCGCCCGAAACUGGCGAGCUAGAGUACGGGAGAGGGUAGUGGAAUUCCCGGUGUAGAGGUGAAAUUCGUAGAUAUCGGGAGGAACACCAGUGGCGAAGGCGGCUACCUGGACCGAUACUGACGCUGAGACGCGAAAGCGUGGGUAG
rnacentral:rRNA from 1 species